UCUCAUAGUGUUGAAUCCCCUCAGCUCGCCACAGUGUUCUCGCUCCUUUGAGUUAAUUGUUUGGCUUUUAUGGUCCACAGCUGUUUCUGGUCUGAUCC